GUUUUUAUGGUGUAUUGUCACAUUGAAAUUUCAUUUCAAAAGAGUAUUAUACUAUAUACUAAAAAUA
rnacentral:tRNA from 1 species